rnacentral:lncRNA from 1 species
CCAGCUGCUUUGAACAUUCUUGAAAUGAAAUAUGGUAUAGUCUCAUACCAUAUCAUAGCCAGAGGGGGAGAGAGAGAAUUUUGUUGUUGUUGUUAUGUUAUCUGUAGUGGACUUUAUGCCUUCCCAGCAUAAAUUCUCUCUUUCCCCAUUUUUCGUGACUCUUGAUUUUUGUUGGGGUUCGUUCCAAGGAGAAUAAUUUCCAUCUGGAUAUUGGAUUGGCACCUGUGACCUCUUCUGAGCUAGACCCUAGUAACAGCGUUUGGAUCUGGGUUGUCACAGAAGCACAGCGAUGUGAUUGGUGGAAGGACCCGUCAACAGACCCAGAAGAUGUAAAGUGUUUUUAAUCUCAAAGGAUGUGGAAUCUCAGAGAUAGUUACACCGAGUAGAGGAUGAAGCGGCUCCUGGAUGGAGGCAGAGGCUUCCUGGAUCUUCAAGUUCUGUAUGGGUUGUUGUAUGAGUUCUUAGUUCAAGACACCAAGAGCCUGGACACCCUCCACUGGUAACAAAAGUAACUGGUGUUUUUGCCAUUAGAAGUAAUGGCACAGAACAAGUACAUGAGAGCGAUUUCUUAUGGAAAAUUAAAUGGCGCAUAAGUCGUGUGCUCAGGUCCGGCGGGGGCGGGACUUUAAAGGUAAAAACAGCAAUUACUUUUGCACCAACUUAUCUUCUAAGUUUCGCUCCCUACCACCUGAGUGUGUUUGGAGGCUCUGGCUCAUUGUACCUGCCUGAUCACCAGGUGCAAGUAGCUGGGCCAGAAGGACCUCGGCACGUUACGGAAUAUUUACUACAGGAACAGGUGAGCUGAAGGCGAAUUCCCCAGGUGUAGCCUGUGACCAUAGAUUCAGACAAAGCCCUGACUGUUGCCUGGAAUUCAAAAAAGCUGUAGCCCUACCAGAUAGAAUAAGAAAAGAAUAUAGGAUUCUUCCUAUUCAAAUAGGUUGCAUAUAAUUAAGAGCAUGAACGAUCCAAUGGAAUGAACUCAAAGUAGUUUUUGAGUGUAAUAGACUUGAAGUGUCUUAUGGAAAAGAAUUGCAAAACCACAGAAACAGUGAAGAAGGUUAGUUAUAGCCUUGAUGGGGUAGCUGACUUCAGCAGUCUCAGCUAUCUGAAAAGUUAUUUACCAGAUUUUGGUUGGGAACAUAAUCCCUAAAUCAUUUGAGAUAAUGUACUUGUUUCCUUACUGGGUAAAUGUGUUUAAACCUUGAGAAAAUGUAGACAUAAGUAGAAUAUAGAAUAAAUUAAACCUUUGGUAGUUAUGUUUUAGGAUUAAGGACUAAUAAGUACAUAUUUGAUAUUUAAGCAUUUGUAAUGCUUGAGAUAAUUUAUCCUACUCAAGUAACAGAUUACUCUUGUGACUCCAAUGUAAAAUAUAUCAUUGAAAAAUUAGUAUCUGCUUGUGAUUUUUAAGUAGAAACCCUGCCAUUUGAAAGGUAUUUGCCUUUAUUAUUGGAGAUAUUUCAUAUGAAUGUUUAACUUUGUUAUUGCAUAGAAGUAUUUAAACAGAUUUCACUUGCAAGAGAAAGAUAUCUAAUAGGUUACUCUUAAUCAGUACUAAAUUACUACAAUUACUAUAUUCUAUUAAUAUCGAUUCAUUAAAACCCAGAGCUUUAAUUAUGUCUCAGAAAAUUAAUUAAACUUUAGCCUCAUAAUCAGCUUUAUUUUCUAACUCAAUGUUUAAAAAUUGACAAGUAUGUAUUAUACUUAUUUAUGUCUUCAUUCAGUAAACAUUUGCAUUUGUAGCAUGCAAGACAACAUGCUAGACACACGAAAGAUGGAAUAAAUGGAAGAAAAUGCAACACAGAUCUCAUGCUUAAGAGGGACAGAUUUACUCUGAAGAUUCAAUGAAAAAACAUCCACAAACAACUUUUCUACAAGAAACAAAACAUUUUAAAGAAAACAUUUACUUCAGCCGGGCGC